rnacentral:rRNA from 1 species
UACGUAGGGUGCGAGCGUUGUCCGGAAUUAUUGGGCGUAAAGAGCUUGUAGGUGGUUUGUCGCGUCUGCUGUGAAAAUCCGAGGCUCACCUCGGACUUGCAGUGGGUACGGGCAGACUAGAGUGUGGUAGGGGAGACUGGAGUUCCUGGUGUAGCGGUGGAAUGACGCAGAUAGUCAGGAGGAACACCGGUGGCGAAGGCGGGUCUCGUGGGCCGAUACGUGACGCUGAGGAGCGAAAAGCGUGGGGAGCGAACAG